rnacentral:rRNA from 1 species
AUUGAACGCUGGCGGCAUGCCUUACACAUGCAAGACGAACGGUAACGGGCCUUCGGGUGCCGACGAGUGGCGAACGGGUGAGUAAUGUAUCGGAACGUACCUUCCAGUGGGGGAUAACGUAGCGAAAGUUACGCUAAUACCGCAUAUUCUGUGAGCAGGAAAGCAGGGGAUCGCAAGACCUUGCGCUGAUUGAGCGGCCGAUAUCAGAUUAGCUAGUUGGUGAGGUAAAGGCUCACCAAGGCGACGAUCUGUAGCGGGUCUGAGAGGAUGAUCCGCCACGCUGGAACUGAGACACGGUCCAGACUCCUACGGGAGGCAGCAGUGGGGAAUUUUGGACAAUGGGGGCAACCCUGAUCCAGCCAUGCCGCGUGAGUGAAGAAGGCCUUCGGGUUGUAAAGCUCUUUCGGCCGGGAAGAAAUCGUAUGGGUUAAUACCCUGUGCGGAUGACGGUACCGGCAUAAGAAGCACCGGCUAACUACGUGCCAGCCGCCGCUGUAAGAC